AACGCGAAGAACCUUACCUGGGCUCGAAGCGCAGUGGACCGGGGUAGAAAUAUCCCUUCCCCUUAAAAGGCUGCUGCGGAGGUGCUGCAUGGCUGUCGUCAGCUCGUGUCGUGAGAUGUUGGGUUAAGUCCCGCAACGAGCGCAACCCUUAUCCCUAGUUGCCAUCGGGUCAAGCCGGGCACUCUAGUGAAACUGCCUGGGAUAACCAGGAGGAAGGUGGGGAUGACGUCAAGUCCUCAUGGCCUUUAUGUCCAGGGCUACACACGUGCUACAAUGGCCGGUACAAACCGUCGCAAACCCGUGAGGGGGAGCUAAUCGGAAAAAGCCGGCCUCAGUUCGGAUUGGAGUCUGCAACUCGACUCCAUGAAGCUGGAAUCGCUAGUAAUCGCGGAUCAGAACGCCGCGGUGAAUACGUUCCCGGGCCUUGUA
rnacentral:rRNA from 1 species